rnacentral:rRNA from 1 species
UACGUAGGGUGCAAGCGUUGUCCGGAAUUAUUGGGCGUAAAGAGCUCGUAGGCGGUCUCUCACGUCUGCUGUGAAAACUCGGGGCUUAACCCCGGGCCUGCAGUGGGUACGGGCAGACUAGAGUGCGGUAGGGGAGACUGGAAUUCCUGGUGUAGCGGUGAAAUGCGCAGAUAUCAGGAGGAACACCGGUGGCGAAGGCGGGUCUCUGGGCAAUGACCGACGCUGAGGCGCGAAGGCGUGGGAAGCAAACAGG